rnacentral:rRNA from 1 species
GACGAACGCUGGCGGCGUGCUUAACACAUGCAAGUCGAACGGAAAGGCCCUGCUUUUGUGGGGUGCUCGAGUGGCGAACGGGUGAGUAACACGUGAGUAACCUGCCCUUGACUUUGGGAUAACUUCAGGAAACUGGGGCUAAUACCGGAUAGGAGCUCCUGCUGCAUGGUGGGGGUUGGAAAGUUUCGGCGGUUGGGGAUGGACUCGCGGCUUAUCAGCUUGUUGGUGGGGUAGUGGCUUACCAAGGCUUUGACGGGUAGCCGGCCUGAGAGGGUGACCGGCCACAUUGGGACUGAGAUACGGCCCAGACUCCUACGGGAGGCAGCAGUGGGGAAUAUUGCACAAUGGGCGGAAGCCUGAUGCAGCAACGCCGCGUGCGGGAUGAAGGCCUUCGGGUUGUAAACCGCCUUCGCCUGUGACGAAGCGUGAGUGACGGUAAUGGGUAAAGAAGCACCGGCUAACUACGUG